AUGGUUAACUGGAGACGGAUUUGUUCGCCAAAAGAGUUUGGGGGGCUCGGCAUAAAGAAUCUGGAAUGCUUCGGUCGGGCGCUACGCCUGCGGUGGCUCUGGUUCAAAUGGGAUGAUAAUGACAGGCCAUGGAAGGGGUCGGCAACACCUUGUGCAGGUCCAGACUUUGCUCUGUUUGAAGCUUGCACCAAAAUCUCUGUUGGCGAUGGUGCAAAAACUUUGUUCUGGAAAGAUAACUGGUUAAAUGGAUCGGCACCGGCCAGGAUGGCUCCGGCCAUCUUCAAAAGGUCAAGAUGCAAAUCAAUUUCCAUCAAGGAGGGGUUCUAGGAAGGAAGAUGGAUGAGGGGCCUGUUUAGGCUGAAUUCUGAAGAAGAACUACAACAGUUCCUCUCUCUAUGGGAGGUCAUUCAAAAUGUGCAACUUUCUUCUACGGCGGAUUCCAUCUCUUGGCGCUUGACUGCUAACGGCGAGUACUCAGCAAUUUCUGCAUACAAUGCUCAAUUCAUUGGGAGGAUUCGGGAGCCUGCUCUGAACAAAGUCUGGAAGAUGAAAACUGAAGGGAAAGUGCGUUUUUACUUCUGGCUCCUGCUCCAAAACAAGAACUGGACUGCGGGCAGGUUGUUGAGAAGGGGAUGGCCACAUAACCCAUGCUGCAAGCUCUGUGAUAUGCAAUCUGAGUCAGCGGUGCACCUUCUGCUAGUCUUCCCUUUCGCUAGGCAAAUAUGGGUUGAUCUUGCUGUCUCCGACCCGGAAGUAUCGCGCAUUGGAUCAUCCUCUACCUCGGUGUCCUCUUGGUGGCAUGAGCUUAAUAGCAUCUCUCCAAAGCGGCGAAGAAUGGAGUGCCUGUCACUCGCCUCGUACCUGGGAUGGCACAUAUGGAAAGAGAGAAACCGCAGGGUGUUUCAGAAUUGUAGCCUCUCUGCUCGAGAGGUUUGCCAUCUUGCGAAAGCUGAGCUCCGCCUCCUUCAGGAGGCGCGGGAGUAG
rnacentral:rRNA from 1 species